rnacentral:rRNA from 1 species
AUUGAACGCUGGCGGCAGGCCUAACACAUGCAAGUCGAGCGGAUGAAGGGAGCUUGCUCCUGGAUUCAGCGGCGGACGGGUGAGUAAUGCCUAGGAAUCUGCCUGGUAGUGGGGGAUAACGUCCGGAAACGGGCGCUAAUACCGCAUACGUCCUGAGGGAGAAAGUGGGGGAUCUUCGGACCUCACGCUAUCAGAUGAGCCUAGGUCGGAUUAGCUAGUUGGUGGGGUAAAGGCCUACCAAGGCGACGAUCCGUAACUGGUUCGGGAGGAUGAUCAGUCACAAGGGAACGUAGAACGCGGGACGGGUACGGAGGGGAGGCACAGGUGGGAAAUGUGGGAAAGGGGGGGAAAGCUUGAACAACCCAGGAGGGGGUGGGGAAGAGGCUCUGCGAAUUGUAAGCCACUUUAAGGGGGAGAAAGGGCAGUAAGUUAAUACCUUGCUGUUUUGACGUUACCAACAGAAUAAGCACCGGCUAACUUCGUG